GCCAGUGUGGCACAGUGGUUUGAGUGCUAGACUGUGACUAUGGAGAUAAGGAUUCGAAUCCCAGCUCAUGGCU